CCCACUAAGAUCCACUACAAUGUACUAGAGAGUUGCCCAAGUGCAAACACAUAAUACCUCAAAACCUCGCAAAUGAAGUCCCUCAUUGGCAAAUGGAACCCUGCCUCCAAAGCGUAAAGGGACAGAUAAAAGCUCGGUCUUCCCCCACUAUGAUCCAACCCACUUAUAGUGCUUAACUCAUUCUCAUCGCUUGGAAUAUUUAACUUAAAAUCGUAAUUAUGCCUCUGAAUUCCA
rnacentral:lncRNA from 1 species